rnacentral:rRNA from 1 species
AUACGGAGGGUGCAAGCGUUACUCGGAAUCACUGGGCGUAAAGCGCGCGCAGGCGGCCAUUUAAGUUGGAUGUGAAAGCCUACGGCUCAACCGUAGAACUGCAUCCAAAACUAUUUGGCUAGAGUGUGGGAGAGGAAGAUGGAAUUAGUCGUGUAGGGGUAAAAUCCGUAGAGAUAACUAGGAAUACCAAAAGCGAAGGCAAUCUUCUGGAACAUUACUGACGCUGAGGCGCGAAAGCGUGGGGAGCAAACAGGAUUAGAUACCCCAGUAGUCC